rnacentral:misc_RNA from 1 species
UUUCCGUAGGUGAACCUGCGGAAGGAUCAUUAGUGAAUUGGAUAUGUUAGCGGACCUUUUCGAAGUCCCUUGCAUCAAAUCAUAUCCAUAACACCUGUGAACUGUAAGGCUGUCUCGAAGACAAAAGUGAUUAGAGCGCCUGCCUAUUUUAGACAAACAUUAAAGUAACAUACGUAGUCUUAUUAUAAUCUAAUAAAACUUUCAACAACGGAUCUCUUGGCUCUC